AGAUAAGGGAAUAAAAGCAGGGUGCCGGCCCUUGCGCCAAGAACCUGCUCGGGGGUCGUAUCCCAAGAUGUGGAGCGUUUGUUCUUUGGCUGUUUGCUAUAAAUCUAGUUGUUGCUGACUUUGGGUUCACUGCGUUGUGAAUUGUAACACUUACCGCGAAGGUCUGCCGCUUCGCUCCUGAAGCCGGCGAGACCACGAACCCACUGGGAGUAACAAAAGGGCGGGAGGAACAAACAAACUCUGGACACAUGAUUUCUAAGUAUUGUAACACUCACCGUGAGGGUCCGCGGCUUCAUUCUUUUAAGUCAGUGAGCCCAAGCAACCACCAAUUCCGGACACAAUAGGAGGUAAUUUUCUGAGCCCGCCUGGACUCACAGCCUCAUCUCAAAAUGUGGAGUUCGUUGCUCGACGUAAGGCUCUAAAUCUGGUCUGAUUGCUGAGAUGCUGCUUCCUCCAAGACGGAACCAUCAUGAAUCCAAACUGGGGGGUUCUUGUUUGGCAGAGCCGAAGGCCAUGUCUGUCCUGCAUUUCCAGUUCCAAGCAGGGGGCCUGUCCUGAAAAUAUAUAUAAGCCGUAAAGCACUGUACACAGGAAAGUUAUUAUCCUCAUGAUCUUCUUAAUCUGGACGAAUUAUUUCUGAAUUCAGAAUCCAGCCUGUACACAGCUUCAUCACAAUGUUGUUCUGUCUUUGCAACUCAACGCAAUGCAGAUUAUUCAGCUAUCUCAAUUACUCGAGUGGGAUCAUAUUAAAUCUCUAAGGUUCAAUUUGCAUAGAUGAUGCUGCUUUCUCCAGCUUAAAAUAUCUGUGUGUCUCCGAUGGCUCUGUGUCCUAGUUUACCUUAGUAUUUUACUUUGCAGAGAUUAGGAAACCUGAUCACAUAUUUUAUUGUGAAAAAUUUCUAAUGCACAAAAUUGGGAAUAAAGAGUAUGGUGGACACUUACAUAUUCAUCACCCAUAUUUGGUGGUAGUUGAUAUGUUGCUGCUCCCCUUAAGCUACCCAUUUAUACAAUUUUUGUUGAAAGCAUUAAAAAAUGUCUUGUACUACCGUUUUAUUUUAUUCCUACAUCCUUCAGGAAUACAUAAUUAUUUUAUUCCUACGUAUUCCUGCAUCUUUAAAAACUGAACAUUUUCUUUUAUAAUCUCGAUGCCGUUUGCACACCUAAAAAUUAAUAUUACUUGCAUAAUAGAAAUUUCUGUGUUGUUUAAAAAUGUUUUCUGGCUUGUUCAAUUGAGAUGCCGUGUCUUGGCCACUUCACGCGGUGAUGAUAAAGUACCAUAGACUGGGUGGCUUACAUAACAAGCAUUGAUUUCUCACAGCUCUGGAGCCUGGGAUGUCCAGGAUCAAGAUGCCAGGAGACUCGGUGUCAGGCUGCCUUAC
rnacentral:lncRNA from 1 species